AAAUAGCCGCAGAAUUUUAACUGUGCUAAGGUAGCAUAAUCAUUAGAUUUAUAAUUAAAAUUUGGAAUGAAAGGAAUAACCUUUAAUACCUUUAUUAAAAUAAAAAUUUUAAACUAUACUAAAAAUAAAAAUAUUUUUAUAAAAAAAAAAGACGACAAGACCCUUUUGAACUUUAACUUAAGUUAAGCUGGGGCAGCUCAUUAAAAACAACUUUAAUAAAAAUAAUUAAAUAAUAACCUAAUAUUAUUAAAAUAAACAAGUUACCACAGGGAUAACAGCGUAAUUUUUUAACAAAGUUCUUAUUUAAUAAAAAGAUUGCGACCUCGAUGUUGAAUUAUAAACCUUUUUAAAGCAAAAUUAAAGAAGGGGGUCU
rnacentral:rRNA from 2 species